rnacentral:misc_RNA from 1 species
UCGUGGCAAGCUCUAUGAGUUCUGCAGCACCUCUAGCAUGGCAAAGACAAUUGAGAAGUACCAUAGAUGCAGUUAUGCGCCAUUGGAGGCCAACCAAUCCAUGCAUGACAUACAGAACUGCUACCAGGAAUAUUUGAAGCUAAAGGAAAAAGUGGAGGCCCUACAGCGUUCACAGAGGAAUCUUCUUGGGGAGGAUUUGGGAGAUUUGAACACAACAGAUCUUAAGCAGCUUGAACACCAGCUUGACUCCUCAUUGAAGCAAAUCAGGUCAACAAAGACCCAAUUUAUGCUGGAUAGACUUUCUGAACUUCAAAGGAAGGA